CCAGACUCCUACGGGAGGCAGCAGUGGGGAAUAUUGCACAAUGGGGGAAACCCUGAUGAAGCGACGCCGCGUGGGUGAAGGAGUGCUUCGGCAUGUAAAGCCCUAUCGGCAGGGAAGAAGCAAGACGGUACCUGACUAAGAAGCCCCGGCUAACUACGUGCCAGCAGCCGCGGUAAUACGUAGGGGGCCAGCGUUAUCCGGAUUUACUGGGUGUAAAGGGAGCGCAGACGGCAGUGCAAGUCUGGAGUGAAAGCCCGGGGCCCAACCCCGGAACUGCUCUGGAAACUGUGCGGCUAGAGUACUGGAGGGGCAGGCGGAAUUCCUAGUGUAGCGGUGAAAUGCGUAGAUAUUAGGAGGAACACCAGUGGCGAAGGCGGCCUGCUGGACAGUAACUGACGUUGAGGCUCGAAAGCGUGGGGAGCAAACAGGAUUAGAUACCCGCGUAGU
rnacentral:rRNA from 1 species